rnacentral:rRNA from 1 species
CCUACGGGAGGCAGCAGUGGGGAAUAUUGCACAAUGGGCGCAAGCCUGAUGCAGCGACGCCGCGUGAGGGAUGGAGGCCUUCGGGUUGUAAACCUCUUUUAUCGGGGAGCAAGCGAGAGUGAGUUUACCCGUUGAAUAAGCACCGGCUAACUACGUGCCAGCAGCCGCGGUAAUACGUAGGGUGCAAGCGUUAUCCGGAAUUAUUGGGCGUAAAGGGCUCGUAGGCGGUUCGUCGCGUCCGGUGUGAAAGUCCAUCGCUUAACGGUGGAUCCGCGCCGGGUACGGGCGGGCUUGAGUGCGGUAGGGGAGACUGGAAUUCCCGGUGUAACGGUGGAAUGUGUAGAUAUCGGGAAGAACACCAAUGGCGAAGGCAGGUCUCUGGGCCGUUACUGACGCUGAGGAGCGAAAGCGUGGGGAGCGAACAGGAUUAGAUACCCUGGUAGUCCACGCCGUAAACGGUGGAUGCUGGAUGUGGGGCCCGUUCCACGGGUUCCGUGUCGGAGCUAACGCGUUAAGCAUCCCGCCUGGGGAGUACGGCCGCAAGGCUAAAACUCAAAGAAAUUGACGGGGGCCCGCACAAGCGGCGGAGCAUGCGGAUUAAUUCGAUGCAACGCGAAGAACCUUACCUGGGCUUGACAUGUUCCCGACGGUCGUAGAGAUGCGGCUUCCCUUCGGGGCGGGUUCACAGGUGGUGCAUGGUCGUCGUCAGCUCGUGUCGUGAGAUGUUGGGUUAAGUCCCGCAACGAGCGCAACCCUCGCCCCGUGUUGCCAGCGGAUUAUGCCGGGAACUCACGGGGGACCGCCGGGGUUAACUCGGAGGAAGGUGGGGAUGACGUCAGAUCAUCAUGCCCCUUACGUCCAGGGCUUCACGCAUGCUACAAUGGCCGGUACAACGGGAUGCGACGCGGCGACGCGGAGCGGAUCCCUGAAAACCGGUCUCAGUUCGGAUCGCAGUCUGCAACUCGACUGCGUGAAGGCGGAGUCGCUAGUAAUCGCGAAUCAGCAACGUCGCGGUGAAUGCGUUCCCGGGCCUUGUACACACCGCCCGUCAAGUCAUGAAAGUGGGCAGCACCCGAAGCCGGUGGCCUAACCCCUUGUGGGAUGGAGCCGUCUAAGGUGAGGCUCGUGAUUGGGACUAAGUCGUAACAAGGUAGCCGUACCGGAAGGUGCGGCUG